rnacentral:rRNA from 1 species
UACGGGGGGGGCAAGCGUUGUUCGGAAUUCCUGGGCGUAAAGGGCUCGUAGGCGGCCCACUAAGUCAGACGUGAAAUCCCUCGGCUUAACCGGGGAACUGCGUCUGAUACUGGAUGGCUCGAGUUUGGGAGAGGGAUGCGGAAUUCCAGGUGUAGCGGUGAAAUGCGUAGAUAUCUGGAGGAACACCGGUGGCGAAGGCGGCAUCCUGGACCAACACUGACGCUGAGGAGCGAAAGCCAGGGGAGCAAACGGG